ensembl:miRNA aca-mir-5415 aca-mir-5415
CUUGGCAAGUGUCAAUGAAGGGGUGCCAAAACUGAGAGAGUGUUUCCCCGCCCCUCAGUCUUGAUAUUGAUCGUUC